UGGGGAAGGGUAGGGUUGGGACAAAAGUCGGGGGCCCUCUUCCCUCACGGCCGCUCUUUCAGGUAUCUGGAGCAACCUGUAUGCAGCCAACCUCCAGGACAGCUUAUACUGGGCCUCAGAGCCCAGCCAGUUCUGGGACCGCUGGGUCAGGAACCAGGCCAACCUGGACAAGGAGCAGGUCCCCCUUCUGAAGAUAGAAGAACCACCCUCAACAGCCGGCAGGAUAGCUGAGUUUUUCACCGAUCUUCUGACGUGGCAUCCACUGGCCCAGGCCACACAUAAUUUCCUGCGUGGCCUCCAUUUCCACAGAGACUACUUUCAGCAUCGUCACUUCUCUACAUGGAAAGCUACCACUCUGGAUGGGCUCCCCAACCAGCUGACACCCUCGGAGCCCCACCUGUGCCUGCUGGAUGUUGGCUACCUCCUCAAUACCAGCUGCCUGCCCCU
ensembl:lincRNA